rnacentral:rRNA from 1 species
UACGUAGGGACCAAGCGUUGUCCGGAAUCAUUGGGCGUAAAGCGCGCGUAGGCGGCCCGGUAAGUCCGUUGUAAAAGUCAAAGGCUCAACCUUUGAAUGCCGAUGGAUACUGCCGGGCUAGAGUCCGGAAGAGGCGAGUAGAAUUCCUGGUGUAGCGGUGGAAUGCGCAGAUAUCAGGAGGAACACCGGUGGCGAAGGCGCCUGCCUGGACGACUAUUGACGCUGAGGCGCGAAAGCGUGGGGAGCAAACAGG